GUUCUCGUUUCUCUUAAAUCACGCAUAAAUCUUUCACCCUUUAGUAAAGAUUUCUGCGCCGAAGAACAUCAAUGAGUUUGAUGUAUUUUUUAUGAGCUUUGCUCUGGCAAAGCU